rnacentral:tRNA from 1 species
GCCUAGUUAGCUUGGUUGGUAGCGCUUCUGCCUUGUGAGCGCUAGGCCGCGGGUUCGAUUCCCGCCCGGGGCG